rnacentral:rRNA from 1 species
CGAAUGCUGACAUAAGUAACGAUAAAGCGGGUGAAAAGCCCGCUCGCCGGAAGACCAAGGGUUCCUGUCCAACGUUAAUCGGGGCAGGGUGAGUCGACCCCUAAGGCGAGGCCGAAAGGCGUAGUCGAUGGGAAACAGGUUAAUAUUCCUGUACUUGGUGUUACUGCGAAGGGGGGACGGAGAAGGCUAUGUUGGCCGGGCGACGGUUGUCCCGGUUUAAGCGUGUAGGCUGGUUUUCCAGGCAAAUCCGGAAAAUCAAGGCUGAGGCGUGAUGACGAGGCACUACGGUGCUGAAGCAACAAAUGCCCUGCUUCCAGGAAAAGCCUCUAAGCAUCAGGUAACAUCAAAUCGUACCCCAAACCGACACAGGUGGUCAGGUAGAGAAUACCAAGGCGCUUGAGAGAACUCGGGUGAAGGAACUAGGCAAAAUGGUGCCGUAACUUCGGGAGAAGGCACGCUGAUAUGUAGGUGAAGCGACUUGCUCGUGGAGCUGAAAUCAGUCGAAGAUACCAGCUGGCUGCAACUGUUUAUUAAAAACACAGCACUGUGCAAACACGAAAGUGGACGUAUACGGUGUGACGCCUGCCCGGUGCCGGAAGGUUAAUUGAUGGGGUUAGCGCAAGCGAAGCUCUUGAUCGAAGCCCCGGUAAACGGCGGCCGUAACUAUAACGGUCCUAAGGUAGCGAAAUUCCUUGUCGGGUAAGUUCCGACCUGCACGAAUGGCGUAAUGAUGGCCAGGCUGUCUCCACCCGAGACUCAGUGAAAUUGAACUCGCUGUGAAGAUGCAGUGUACCCGCGGCAAGACGGAAAGACCCCGUGAACCUUUACUAUAGCUUGACACUGAACAUUGAGCCUUGAUGUGUAGGAUAGGUGGGAGGCUUUGAAGUGUGGACGCCAGUCUGCAUGGAGCCGACCUUGAAAUACCACCCUUUAAUGUUUGAUGUUCUAACGUGGACCCGUGAUCCGGGUUGCGGACAGUGUCUGGUGGGUAGUUUGACUGGGGCGGUCUCCUCCUAAAGAGUAACGGAGGAGCACGAAGGUUGGCUAAUCCUGGUCGGACAUCAGGAGGUUAGUGCAAUGGCAUAAGCCAGCUUGACUGCGAGCGUGACGGCGCGAGCAGGUGCGAAAGCAGGUCAUAGUGAUCCGGUGGUUCUGAAUGGAAGGGCCAUCGCUCAACGGAUAAAAGGUACUCCGGGGAUAACAGGCUGAUACCGCCCAAGAGUUCAUAUCGACGGCGGUGUUUGGCACCUCGAUGUCGGCUCAUCACAUCCUGGGGCUGAAGUAGGUCCCAAGGGUAUGGCUGUUCGCCAUUUAAAGUGGUACGCGAGCUGGGUUUAGAACGUCGUGAGACAGUUCGGUCCCUAUCUGCCGUGGGCGCUGGAGAACUGAGGGGGGCUGCUCCUAGUACGAGAGGACCGGAGUGGACGCAUCACUGGUGUUCGGGUUGUCAUGCCAAUGGCACUGCCCGGUAGCUAAAUGCGGAAGAGAUAAGUGCUGAAAGCAUCUAAGCACGAAACUUGCC